ACCUCUGCAAUAGGCGAAAGCUUGACAGGGUUACUCUGAGUGAUGUCCGCUAAGGGCAUCUUUUGGCACUUCUAAAAAUAGUGUAGAAUAAGGGGUGGGCAAGUCUGGUGUCAGCCGCCGCGGUAAUACCAGCACCCCGAGUGGUCGGGACGAUUAUUGGGCCUAAAGCAUCCGUAGCCGGUUCUGCAAGUCUUCCGUUAAAUCCACCUGCUCAAUAGAUGGGCUGCGGAGGAUACUACAGGGCUAGGAGGCGGGAGAGGCAAGCGGUACUCAGUGGGUAGGGGUAAAAUCCUCUGAUCCACUGAAGACCACCAGUGGCGAAGGCGGCUUGCCAGAACGCGCUCGACGGUGAGGGAUGAAAGCUGGGGGAGCAAACCGGAUUAGAUACCCGGGUAGUCCCAGCUGUAAACGAUGCAGACUCGGUGAUGAGUUGGCUUAUUGCUAACUCAGUGCCGCAGGGAAGCCGUUAAGUUUGCCGCCUGGGGAGUACGGUCGCAAGACUGAAACUUAA
rnacentral:rRNA from 1 species